AAUCUGGAGGUAUGUAAUGUUACUGCUGCAUGCUUGGAUUCCAUCUCUGCUCUUGUCGCUUUGGCAUACUUAAAUCCUGGAAGAUGUGGCCUAACUGAUGAUGGAUGUGACAAGUUUUCUGGACUUAAGAAUUUGAAGGUAUUGAACCUGGUAUUUAACAAUAUAACAGAUGCAUGCAUAGUGCACCUAAAAGGAUUAACAAAUUUGGAGAGCCUGAAUUUAGAUUCAUGUAAAGUUGGGGAUUAAGGCCUUGCUCAUUUGACAGGCCUGUCACUCCUCAAAAGUCUAGAGUUGUCCGACAUUGAAGUCGGGAGCAAUGGGCUACGGCACCUCUCUGGUUUGACUCAUCUGGAGACCUUGAAUCUGUAAUUCACUUUAGUGACUGAUAGUGGUCCAAAAAAGUUGUCUGGAUU